rnacentral:rRNA from 1 species
ACGGGUGCGUAACGCGUAUGCAACCUACCUUUAACUGGAGGAUAGCCCGAAGAAAUUCGGAUUAAUACUCCAUAAUAUAUGUCCUUCGCAUGUUGGACAUAUUAAAGCUUUGGCGGUUAAAGAUGGGCAUGCGUAACAUUAGCUAGUUGGUAAGGUAAC